UUCGUCAAGGCCCUGGAGGAUUUACAC
rnacentral:piRNA from 1 species